UACGGAGGGUGCAAGCAUUAAUCGGAAUUACUGGGCGUAAAGCGCGCGCAGGCGGCUAUCCAAGUCAGUGGUGAAAGCCCGGAGCUCAACUCCGGAACUGCCAUUGAAACUGUUUAGCUUGAGGACGAGAGAGGUGAGUGGAAUUCCCAGUGUAGAGGUGAAAUUCGUAGAUAUUGGGAAGAACACCGGUGGCGAAGGCGGCUCACUGGCUCGUUUCUGACGCUCAGGCGCGAUAGCGUGGGGAUCAAACAGG
rnacentral:rRNA from 1 species